rnacentral:rRNA from 1 species
AGGUUGAUAGGUUGCGUGUGUAAGCAUAGUGAUAUGUUCAGCUUGGCAAUACUAAUAGGUCGAGGGCUUGACCACA